ACAUGCCUACAACAUAGCGUUAAUGCACCAGAUCCCACUAGAACUCUGUAGUUAAGCGCGCUUAGGCUAGAGUAGUACUAUGAUGGGUGAUCACCUAGGAAGUCCUAAUGUUUUACAUGCC
rnacentral:rRNA from 1 species